ensembl:lncRNA
AUGGUCCCCAGUCUAGGUCGCGGAGGAGACUCCCAAGGAACACUUAGAGACUGGGAUAUAAAUAGCGAGGCAGAGCUCCGCCCCCCCCCCCAGCUUCUCUCCUCCGGAGCCGGCGCUGUGCCCGGGGCGCACUGGGAGGAGGGACCAGGCUUCUGUGCCCGGGCGCAGAUACUGACACCAAGGGAAUCCGGGUCCACCCCCCACCACCACCACGCCAUGUGGGACCCCUGGAACCAAGCUCCGCCACCCCAGCUGCCCCGUGGCCCUGGCCUCAGUCUUGGCCCGGUGGAGAUUCUGCGGACAUACAGGUCCCAAACGCAAGCUGCCUCCCUCCCCCCAUUCAAUUUAUGGGGCUGUGGCAACCUAAAAGAGGUUAGGAAUGGGACUGUGUGUGUGAAUGUAUGGGUGCAUGUGUGUGGGUGGGUGGCGUUCAGCAUCCUAGAAAGGGGGAUUCCAAGUGCGGAUAAGAAAAGGGGGAUGCUGGAAAGGUCUGAUAAGCCGUGGGGUGAGGGUGGGGGUGCGGAUAUCCCUGCGCGUGCACGUACGCAUUUGCACGCGCGCUCAUCCUUCAAUGCGGGUGCACCCUUCCCACCUCCUCAGGCAUGCGCUGGGGGGAUGGGGGUGGCUCAAAGGCAUGAGUUAGAAGGACUGUGUGCCAUGACGUGGAGCUCUCCCCCGCCCCAUGCCGGUCCUUCAACCCGUGCCUCAGUUUCCCUGCCUGAAUCAGUCAAUAAGAUCUUUCUCUUUUUUGCAGGGAUUGGCUUCGCCACUGAGCCCUCAGGCCUCUGCCAGCCAUCACCCACACGCCCUUAGCUAUCCUCGGCAGGUCCCAGUCCCGGCUCCAUCGGUGCUUUCGCCCCAGCGGCAGCUAUGCUGCAUACCGAGGGCCACGCUCUUCUUCGGGCCGUGGGUCAGGGUAAGCUACGAUUGGCCCGUUUGCUUCUGGAGGGGGGCGCCUAUGUGAAUGAGGGUGAUGCCCAAGGGGAGACUGCGCUAAUGGCGGCCUGUCGGGCCCGCUACGACGACCCCCAGAACAAGGCGCGCAUGGUACGCUACCUUCUGGAGCAAGGCGCGGACCCCAACAUCGCAGAUCGCCUAGGGCGCACCGCGCUCAUGCACGCUUGUGCCGGCGGUGGGGGCGCCGCGGUGGCCUCUCUGCUCCUUGCCCACGGCGCAGACCCCUCAGUUCGAGAUCACGCUGGCGCCUCGGCGCUUGUCCAUGCCCUGGACCGCGGGGAUCGCGAAACCCUUGCCACGCUGCUGGACGCCUGUAAGGCCAAGGGCACAGAGGUCAUCAUCAUCACCACCGACACCUCGCCUUCAGGCACCAAGAAGACCCGACAGUAUCUCAAUUCCCCACCGUCCCCGGGGUGGAGGACCCGGCUCCCGCUCCUCCUAGCCCGGGGAUCUGCACGUCGCCUUCGGAAAUCCAACUGCAGACUGCAGGAGGAGGAGCACGGGGGUUGUUGUCCCCUCGUGCCCAGGAAGAAGAGGAGAAGCGGGACGUGUUUGAAUUCCCUCUCCCUAAGCCCCCCGAUGACCCCUCCCCUUCUGAGCCACUCCCCAAACCAUCACGUCAUCCUCCAAAACCACUCAAAAGGCUCAAUUCGGAGCCCUGGGGCCUAGUGGCCCCUCCUCAACCAGUCCCGCCAGCCGAGGGGAGGCCGGGGAUCGAGCGCCUGACCGCCGAAUUCAACGGCCUGACCCUGACAGGUCGACCGCGUCUUUCCAGACGUCACAGCACUGAAGGCCCAGAGGACCCGCCCCCGUGGGCGGAGAAAGUGACUGGUGGGGGUCCUCUCUCUCGCCGAAA